CCUACGGGUGGCUGCAGUGGGGAAUAUUGGGCAAUGGGCGCAAGCCUGACCCAGCAACGCAGCGUGAAGGAAGAAGGCUUUCGGGGUGUAAACUUCUUUUAAGAGGGAAGAGCAGAAGACGGUAGCUCGUGAAUAAGCAACGGCUAACUACGUGACAGCAGCCGCGGUAAUACGUAGGUGGCAAGCGUUGUCCGGCUUUACUGGGUGUAAAGGACGUGAAGCCGGGAAGACAAGUCAGAUGUGAAAUCCCGCGGCUCAACCCCGGAACUGCAUUUGAAACUGUUUUUCUUGAGUACCGGGGCGGUCAUCGGAAUUUCUUGUGUAGCGGUGAAAUGCGUAGAUAUAAGGAAGAACACCAGUUGCGAAGGCGGAUGACUGGACGGCAACUGACGGUGAGGCGCGAAAGCGUGGGGAGCAAACAGGAUUAGAUACCCUAGUAGUC
rnacentral:rRNA from 1 species